rnacentral:rRNA from 1 species
AUGUUAAUAUUUCAGGUUUGCGGUGCAGUCAGUGGGAAAUUGGCAGAUACUUCCCUCACAACGUUGGCACUGAUAUGUCUGUGGCCAUGUUCAGCCGGCUCCAGGUAUCUAGCUAUGGUUGUCGCUGCUACGGAGGCCAGAGGAGGAAGCUACGCUCUUCCAUGGCGGCCAGAGGAGGAGGAGGCACUUCUCCGGUCAGAUCAGUGGCUACCAUGUCGCCGUCAACGUCCACCCUCCUCGACAGAUCAACUUACUCCCAAGGCAACUGCUCCUGAUCUUGAACACGAGCUUGGAAAUCUGGCACCGACAUAUGCAGCUGCCGGUCAAAUUUCUCCAUAUUUUGGUUUGGAGAUUUUUGGAAGGAACAGUUGUUUAAUUGCUCAGAACCAUCUCUCAAAUGGAAACAUACAGCGAAGUUUUUCAGUAUAUGAGUUAUAUUGGAAACAGCAGCGCAUCUGGAACUCUCAGUAG